ACUCAAAUGAAUUGACGGGGGCCCGCACAAGCAGUGGAGUAUGUGGUUUAAUUCGAAGCAACGCGAAGAACCUUACCAGGUCUUGACAUCGAGUGACGUACUAAGAGAUUAGUACUCCCUUUUUGGGCACGAAGACAGGUGGUGCAUGGUUGUCGUCAGCUCGUGUCGUGAGAUGUUGGGUUAAGUCCCGCAACGAGCGCAACCCUUGCCAUUAGUUACUACGCAAGAGGACUUUAAUGGGACUGCCGUUGACAAAACGGAGGAAGGUGGGGAUGACGUCAAAUCAUCAUGCCCCUUAUGACCUGGGCUACACACGUACUACAAUGGCAAUUAACAGAGGGGAGCAAAGCAGUGAUGCAGAGCAAAUCCCGAAAAAUUGUCUCAGUUCGGAUUGUAGGCUGCAACUCGCCUACAUGAAGUCGGAAUUGCUAGUAAUCGCAGAUCAGCAUGCUGCGGUGAAUACGUUCCCGGGCCUUGUACACACCGCCCGU
rnacentral:rRNA from 1 species